rnacentral:tRNA from 1 species
GAGGAUAUAGCUCAAUAGCAGGGCACUUGCCUGGCAAGCAUGAAGCUUUGUCUUCA